rnacentral:rRNA from 1 species
UACGUAGGGGCCUAGCGUUGUCCGGAUUUAUUGGGCGUAAAGAGCUCGUAGGCGGCUUGGUAAGUCAGGUGUGAAAUCUCCACGCUCAACGUGGAGGGGCCACCCGAAACUGCCAUGGCUUGAGUCCGGUAGGGGAGUGUGGAAUUCCCGGUGUAGCGGUGAAAUGCGCAGAUAUCGGGAAGAACACCCGUGGCGAAGGCGGCAGCUCUGGGACGGUACUGACGGCUGAGACGCGAAAGCGUGGGGAGCGA